rnacentral:rRNA from 1 species
UACGGAGGGUGCAAGCGUUGCUCGGAUUUAUUGGGUUUAAAGGGUGCGUAGGCGGUCUUAUAAGUCAGUGGUGAAAUACGGCAGCUCAACUGUCGAGGUGCCAUUGAUACUGUAGGACUUGAGUACAGACGAGGUAGGCGGAAUUGACGGUGUAGCGGUGAAAUGCUUAGAUAUCGUCAAGAACACCGAUAGCGAAGGCAGCUUACUAGGCUGUAACUGACGCUGAGGCACGAAAGUGUGGGGAUCAAACAGG